CUGCCUGUAAGACUGGGAUAACUCCGGGAAACCGGAGCUAAUACCGGAUACUAUGUCAAACCGCAUGGUUUGACAUUCAAAGACGGUUUCGGCUGUCACUUACAGAUGGGCCCGCGGCGCAUUAGCUAGUUGGUGAGGUAAUGGCUCACCAAGGCGACGAUGCGUAGCCGACCUGAGAGGGUGAUCGGCCACACUGGGACUGAGACACGGCCCAGACUCCUACGGGAGGCAGCAGUAGGGAAUCUUCCGCAAUGGACGAAAGUCUGACGGAGCAACGCCGCGUGAGUGAUGAAGGUUUUCGGAUCGUAAAACUCUGUUGUCAGGGAAGAACAAGUGCCGGAGUAACUGCCGGCACCUUGACGGUACCUGACCAGAAAGCCACGGCUAACUACGUGCCAGCAGCCGCGGUAAUACGUAGGUGGCAAGCGUUGUCCGGAAUUAUUGGGCGUAAAGCGCGCGCAGGCGGUUUCUUAAGUCUGAUGUGAAAGCCCCCGGCUCAACCGGGGAGGGUCAUUGGAAACUGGGAAACUUGAGUGCAGAAGAGGAGAGUGGAAUUCCACGUGUAGCGGUGAAAUGCGUAGAGAUGUGGAGGAACACCAGUGGCGAAGGCGACUCUCUGGUCUGUAACUGACGCUGAGGCGCGAAAGCGUGGGGGAGCGAACAGGAUUAGAUACCCUGGUAGUCCACGCCGUAAACGAUGAGUGCUAAGUGUUAGAGGGUUUCCGCCCUUUAGUGCUGCAGCUAACGCAUUAAGCACUCCGCCUGGGGAGUACGGUCGCAAGACUGAAACUCAAAGGAAUUGACGGGGGCCCGCACAAGCGGUGGAGCAUGUGGUUUAAUUCGAAGCAACGCGAAGAACCUUACCAGGUCUUGACAUCCUUUGCCACUUCUAGAGAUAGAAGGUUCCCCUUCGGGGGACAAAGUGACAGGUGGUGCAUGGUUGUCGUCAGCUCGUGUCGUGAGAUGUUGGGUUAAGUCCCGCAACGAGCGCAACCCUUGAUCUUAGUUGCCAGCAUUCAGUUGGGCACUCUAAGGUGACUGCCGGUGACAAACCGGAGGAAGGUGGGGAUGACGUCAAAUCAUCAUGCCCCUUAUGACCUGGGCUACACACGUGCUACAAUGGAUGGUACAAAGGGCUGCGAGACCGCGAGGUUUAGCCAAUCCCAUAAAACCAUUCUCAGUUCGGAUUGCAGGCUGCAACUC
rnacentral:rRNA from 2 species